rnacentral:rRNA from 1 species
GACGAACGCUGGCGGCGUGCUUAACACAUGCAAGUCGAACGGAAAGGCCCUGCUUUUGUGGGGUGCUCGAGUGGCGAACGGGUGAGUAACACGUGAGUAACCUGCCCUUGACUUUGGGAUAACUUCAGGAAACUGGGGCUAAUACCGGAUAGGAGCUCCUGCUGCAUGGUGGGGGUUGGAAAGUUUCGGCGGUUGGGGAUGGACUCGCGGCUUAUCAGCUUGUUGGUGGGGUAGUGGCUUACCAAGGGUUUGACGGGUAGCCGGCCUGAGAGGGUGACCGGCGACAUUGGGACUGAGAUACGGCCCAGACGGCUACGGGAGGCAGAAGUGGGGAAUAUUGCACAAUGGGCGGAAGCCUGAUGCAGCAACGCCGCGUGCGGGAUGACGGCCUUCGGGUUGUAAACCGCUUUCGCCUGUGACGAAGCGUGAGUGACGGUAAUGGGUAAAGAAGCACCGGCUAACUACGUG